GAAAUGCGAUAACUAGUGUGAAUUGCAGAAUUCCGUGAAUCAUCGAGUCUUUGGACGCACAUUGCGCCCCCUGGUAUUCCGGGGGGCAUGCCUGUCCGAGCGUCAUUGCUGCCCAUCAAGCACGGCUUGUGUGUUGGGUCGUCGUCCCCUCUCCGGGGGGGACGGGCCCCAAAGGCAGCGGCGGCACCGCGUCCGAUCCUCGAGCGUAUGGGGCUUUGUCACCCGCUCUGUAGGCCCGGCCGGCGCUUGCCGAACGCAAAUCAAUCUUUUUCCAGGUUGACCUCGGAUCAGGUAGGGAUACCCGCUGAACUUAAGC
rnacentral:misc_RNA from 1 species